UACGUAGGGGGCGAGCGUUGUCCGGAAUUACUGGGCGUAAAGGGCGUGUAGGCGGCCGAUCAAGUCAGGUGUGAAAUUUCAGGGCUCAACCCUGAACGUGCAUUUGAAACUGGUUGGCUUGAGUGCAGGAGAGGAAAGUGGAAUUCCCAGUGUAGCGGUGAAAUGCGUAGAUAUUGGGAGGAACACCAGUGGCGAAGGCGACUUUCUGGCCUGCAACUGACGCUGAGGCGCGAAAGCUAGGGGAG
rnacentral:rRNA from 1 species